UUUAAUUGAAGAGUUUGAUCAUGGCUCAGAUUGAACGCUGGCGGCAGGCCUAACACAUGCAAGUCGGGCGGUAACAGGGGGAAGCUUGCUUCUCUGCUGACGAGCGGCGGACGGGUGAGUAAUGUAUGGGGAUCUGCCUGAUGGCGGGGGAUAACUACUGGAAACGGUAGCUAAUACCGCAUAAUGUCUUCGGACCAAAGCGGGGGACCUCCG
rnacentral:rRNA from 1 species